GAAGAACACCUCUGCCAGCUCCGGGCUGGGGCCCGGGCACAGCCAGGCCUCCACCCACCAAGCAGGCCCUGGGGCCCUGGUAGGGGAGGUGGAGCAGUUUAGGGGCUCUAAGGUCCUGGAAAAACACCUCAUGGACGCUUCAAAGUCCACCUCGCAGUUCCGGGGGGCAAAGAACCGCCCCGAAGUUUCUGAAAACUCACCUCCCCUCCCUCUGCUGGGCUCAGGGAGGCAUGGCAACCCUGAGAGGAAUUUCAGCGGGCCCGGGGCCAAGGAUUUCAGCUGGAGAACGCUGGCAGUAGAGGUGGCAGAGGCGGCGGCUUCUGCCAAAGGAUCAGAGGAGCUUUGAGCCAAUUAGGUUUCCCAAAUUCUACCCCCCCCACCCCCGCCGUCCCGACCCUCACCCAGGGGACAGGUUACCAUCUCUUCCCCCAUAAGGGGAGGUGGAAUGCCCAGGAGACCCCUAUCCUGAGCUACUUCCUGUCGGCCCGGGGGACCAAGCUGCCUCCUGCCCAGAAAUAAUCCAUGGGGACUGGGUUUGAACUGGAUCCAGAAUGACAGUUGGUGGCAAGGAACCUGGGGGGGGGUUGGGGGGGGCGGAUGCUAUGGCAACAAAGAAGGGGUCACCUGCAUUGUUGAGGCAGUAGAAUCUCAUAAGAACCAAACCAAGUUGGGGGGUGGGCAGGGGGUCGCAGAGGGGGAGGGAGAGGAAGGAAGGGAUGGAGGGAGGAGGGCAAGGGGUUUGAAAGAGUGAAGGUUACUGUGAAUCCCAGGUGGGACAGGGAUGGGGUCCCCGAAUCCCAUGUAUCUACCCCAGUGCUUAAUACAGUGCUUGGCACAUAAUAAGUGCUUCACAAACCCAACGGUGGUUAUUAUUAUCAGGUUUCUGGAAUGGGAGCUGGGAGGAGGUUUCCGACAGGAGCGAUGGAGAUGCCAAAUCUCCUCUAUCCAGUGGCUCAUUAUUCCAAAGCUCUCUGGGACCCUGAGAAAAAAGACCCUGGAUCACUGGGAUACAGGAAUUGGCCAAACUCUGACUGCUUUUCCCAAGAAUCACUAGGUCGGUGAUGAGGCCCAGCCUAGGGCAGGGGGUUUCCCAGUCCCUACACAAGCUGGGUGUUCUGACUCCACAAGCUCCCUCUGAAGGUCAGUCAGUAGAGGAAGCCAAACCCCAGAAAGCCACAAAAGCUCUGGCUCACAAAAAGAGGAGUUUGUCCAUGUUUUUCCCUCGUCCCCUCGCUCUACAGCAGGAUCCCAGGAGAGAGAACUUGGAACGCUUACUUAUCCCUAAAUCCGGGACUCUUUGAGAUGCUUCCUCUUUGGAUGACACCUGGGCACAUCUAUAGCUUCCCCUUUCUGUGCCAAAUGGAUCAUCUCAAAAGAUCCUGGAUAAAGGGGAGCAGGGCAGGUAGUGUGGCCUAGUAGAGAGAGCACUGGGAAUGAGGAUACUGGGUUUCUAGUCCCAACUCUGCCACUCGCCUGCAGGGUGAUCUUCGGCAAGACACUUUUCUACACGUAAACUGUUAGGGCAGGGCUUGUGUCUGCCAACUCUAUUGAACUCUCUCAGGGGCUCAGUACAGCACUCUGCACACAGUAAGCACUCAGUAAAUGUCAUUGAUGGAUUGAAUGAGUCUCUGUGCUGUGCCUUAGUAUUCUCCUCUGUAAAAUGGGGGUGAUAAAAUUGCCUGCCCUCCUUCUUAGGCUGGGAGCCCCACAGUGAUCCUAAGAGGGGUCUUUGAUCCUGUUAGUUUUUAUCUGUGCUUGCACUUCAUAAGCAUUAUUCCUAUGAAGAAACAAAGUGUGAGAGAGGAGGGUGAUUAGGGGGCUAUGGGAAGUGCUGUGGGUUAAGAGAAAAGAGUCCCCAAAUCAGGCAAAGUUCUACAUUCUUGGUGCAGACCCUAAAGCCCCUCUUCCCCCAUCCUACUGCAGGUCUAUAUUCCUCAAGACUGCCAGCUCCUUGUAGGCGAGGAACAAAUCUAUGAACUCCGUGGUAUUCCCAAGUGCUCAGUACAAUGCUCUGCACAAGAAAUACCACUGAUUGAUUGACAUCAUCAGGACUCAGGACCCUCUGUGGAAGGAAAAUGAGGUGAGACUAUUGCUCCAGAAAGUGGAGGGGCAGAGAAAGAAGUCCCUUUGAUGACCAAUCAUUCCCUCAGUUACCCUCCUGUCUCCCAGCCCCGGCUCCUCCCUGAGCCAGAGGAGCUCCUGAUGAGUCUUCUCAGGGGACCCCUGAAAGUCUACCUUGAUUAAUGACUGCAUCCGCCUCCUCUCUGAGCUCCCUGCCUCCUGUCUCUUCCCUCUCUAGCCCAUAUUUUACUCUGCUGCCCCGAUCACUUUUCUACCAAAAAUGUUCAGUCUGUGUUUCCCCGCUCCUUAAUAACCUGCAGCGAUUGCCCAUCCAACUCCGCAUCAAAUGAAAACUACUCACCACUGGCUUCAGAAGCACUGAAUCACCUUGCCCCCCUACCUCACCUCACUACUCUCCUACUACAAUGCAGCCCGCACACUUCGCUCCUCUAAUGCCAACCUACUCACUGCACCUCGAUCCCUUCUACCUCGCUCUCUCGCUCGCAUCCCACCUCUGGCCUGGGAUGCCCUCCCUCUUCAUAGCAUUACUCUCUCCACCUUCAAACUCUCUCUUGGAGCAUCUCCUCCAAGAGGCCUUCCCCAACUAAACCCUCAUUUCCCCUACUCCCUCUCCCCUGAGUUGCCCCUGCACUGAAAUUUGUACUCUGCAUUUCACCGGCCCUCAGCCCCACGGCACUUGGGUACCUCUCCUUAACGUAUUUCUUUCUCCCUCUCGCUGUAAGCUCCUUUUGGGCAGGAAAGGGGGUCUACCAACUCUUUUUAUAUUGCAC
rnacentral:lncRNA from 1 species